rnacentral:tRNA from 1 species
AAAGAAUUAGUUAAAUAAUAACAUUAGUAUGUCAUGCUAAAAUUAUUAGUAAUAUUCUAAUAUUCUUUA